rfam:Tupaia chinensis contig212077, whole genome shotgun sequence.
CUGUCUCUUGCUUCAACAGUGUUCGGACGGAACAG